AUGAUGGCCGCCGCCGGCGCUGUGACCAGGAGGAGCAUGCCCUUGUUCGACGGCAGCGUGUUCCUUGGCGACGUCGACGUGCUCUUCCCACCAGGAACUGAAAGCGCAUCGUCAUCUUGCAUGGAUCUCCGCCAACCGGCCGUGUUCCCCAGGAACGAGAUCCGGAUCAGCUGCCGGUCGCCGGCGAGCGAGAGGUGCCCUCCGCUGGCCGUGCUACAGGUGAUCAGCGCCUACUCUUUGCGCUGCAAGCUCCAGGCCAAAGCAGCGGAUCUCCAUCCCACAUCCCUCCUGCACAGGCUCCACGACUCCUGCUGGAAGAAGGGCAUGACUGCUGUGGUGGAGGCCGGAGAGGAGGAAUUACACCUCAUUGCGAUGCAAAGCAAGCAGGUGAAAGCGGAAAUGUUCGAAAGACGUUUGGACAAGAUUAUGUCAGGCUUGGACGAUUCAGAGCUUGAUGCUGCUAACGAAUCAGCAAUGUCCGACGAGUUCAAUCGGACUUUUAACGAUAAACAGUUGCUUGUCGAUUUCAACGAAACAGAUUCCAAGAAGUCACUUGAACUUGUGUUUCGAGAUAGCUUAUGUCAUCCAAGUAUGGCCAUGGUGCUUGAUGACCGUAGGGAUGUUUGGGAUGAGAGAGAUAAACGACGAGUUUUUGUAGCGCCACCUUACAAACCAUUAUUUGCCCCUGAAGACAAGGUGGCGAAUGGUCAUAGUGCGCUUCAUACUCUAACAAAUAUUGCAUGCCAUGCCCGCAAAGGAUUCUUCAGUGAUUUUGAUGGGAUGCUACUGAAAAAUAUAAACGAACUAAUGUAUGAAAAUGAGGUAUUGGAUCUUCCAUACAACCCAGAUGUUAGUGACUACUUACAGUUAAAGAACAAUAGUACUGCAAGACAUAGUAUUGCUCCUAUGGUACGUAGCUGA
rnacentral:rRNA from 1 species